GGGGAUAUGGCGAAAUUGGUAGACGCUACGGACUUAAAAUCCGUCGACUUUAGAAGUCGUGAGG
rnacentral:tRNA from 1 species